rnacentral:lncRNA from 1 species
AUUAAUUGUGUAUCAUCUUUCAUAUGUUUUCUAUACUUUGGCAAAAUUUCAGAAGGUUUGAAGCUCUUAUGAUUUAUUUAUGAAUUUGUAAACAUCACUGCCCAUCUGGAAUACAUUUUUGGUAAACAAUCUUUGGGAGGCCAUAAGUAAAGUUUCAAUCGGUGAAAACCUUUGAAACUUGAAUAUGUCACUCUAGACUCUCGUAUCUUUCUUUUGACAUCGGCCUCACCAUUUUUGAAUAAGGGAAACAACCGGUAUAAAUUCUUGAAAUCUAGUUCUUAUUCCAUGUACCAUCCAGUAGAUUUUACAAACCUACGACUUUGAGGUGGCAAAGCCCGACUUAAAUCUUUGAUUCUCAAGCCUAGCUUUCUACUGAAUAUUCAAUGACAUGUUGGGAACUUACUUGCUUAGUUUUAGAAUUUUUGGUGAAGCCUAAAGUGGUUUUCUGAUUUAUGUUAUGAAUCUGCCAAACUUGAACGCUUUUUGUGCACUGAACUUUAGACAGUCAUAUCUUCUAAACCAUGAAUGUUCUUAGAGUAAAUCCAACUGGAGAGUGUUAUGAUCUCUCCCUAGUUUCCAGAUUGACCCUUGGGGUUCCCAGUGGAGUUUUGUAAAGGGAGAUAUGAAUUUUUAAAGAAAGCCCACUGACUUGGUUGUAAUCUGGAAAUCUGAAAUUUUCAGAUUUUUGCUUGUUAAAUACCCAUCUUUGAGAGGGCAUAUCUUGCUCGUUUGAAUUGUUUUUCAUUCGAUUCAAAUUGGAGAAUGAUCCUUGAAAUGUCUAGUUUCCAGAAUGUCUUUUGGAGCAUCAUUUGGAGAUCCGAGGCAGAUUUGGUGUCUGUUGCAAAAUAACCCCUUAAGAACUCAAGUUGUUGAAUUAUUUUCUAUGUAUCAAAGUUUAUUUUAAAGGAUGUUUCAUGAAAGAUUUAGUAUAUGUGCGUAACAAGUUUGGGACUAUUUAUUUUAAAUGAGGUCCGUUCUUUAUUUAAAUUAUGAUGGACUUUUAAUGAAUAUUUUUGGGAUUAAACUCUUAUUUCUUGAUUUAUAUAAAUAAUUUUUUUAAGGACUUAUAAAUAUGAAUUUCGUAGGCCUACUGACCUACUGUGAUCGACGGUUUGUCGAUGUCUAAUAGCUUUGAAAAUUUUAUAGCAAGUCCCUACAUGAGUCUUGAGUACCCUGGUAAAAUUUCA